rnacentral:rRNA from 1 species
GUGAGGAAUUUUCCGCAAUGGGCGAAAGCCUGACGGAGCAAUGCCGCGUGAAGGAUGAAGGCCUAUGGGUUGUAAACUUCUUUUCUCAGAAAAGAAUUAUGACGGUAUCUGAGGAAUAAGCAUCGGCUAACUCUGUGCCAGCAGCCGCGGUAAGACAGAGGAUGCAAGCGUUAUCCGGAAUGAUUGGGCGUAAAGCGUCUGUAGGUUGUUUAAAAAGUAUUCUGUCAAAGAUUAGGGCUUAACCCUAGAUAGGCAGAAUAAACUUUUAAGCUAGAGUUUGGUAGAGGAAGAGGGAAUUCCCGGUGGGGCGGUGAAAUGCGUAGAUAUCGGGAGGAACACCAAAGGCGAAGGCACUCUGCUGGGCCAAUACUAACACUGAGAGACGAAAGCGAGGGGAGCAAAUGGGAUUAGAAACCCUGGUAGUCC